rnacentral:tRNA from 1 species
UUUUAUAUAGUAUAAGACAUAUUACAAAAAAUUUCCAAUUUUUAAAACUAUAAAAACUAUAGUAUAAAAA